UACGGGGGGUGCGAGCGUUGUCCGGAAUCACUGGGCGUAAAGGGCGCGUAGGUGGUUUGAUAAGGGUGUGGUGAAAGCCCGGGGCUCAACCCCGGGUCUGCCGUGCCGACUGUCAAACUCGAGGGCUGUAGAGGCAGACGGAAUUCCGGGUGUAGCGGUGAAAUGCGCAGAUAUCAGGAGGAACACCGGUGGCGAAGGCGGGACUCUGGGCCGAUACUGACGCUGAGGAGCGAAAGCGUGGGGAGCAAACAGG
rnacentral:rRNA from 1 species